UUCCAAGAUGGCGGGGCCCCCGAAAACUUGCUUCUCCAGUAAAACAUCGCCGAAAGGGAAGUUUAGAGAUUAAUAGACGACGCAAACUAAUGUUUUAAGGAGCGAAGUGGAUCCGGUCACAAGACUUUGCUUGACCCAAUUGCCAUGCAAUCGGAAUGGAGCAAUGCGAGCAAAACAAGUACAAGAAAAUACUAAAAGGAUCCUAAUGGCUUUCGUGUUGAUCUGACACGUCUUCAUUCACUCCACAGAGCAGCAAAAGGAAAGCACGGUAAAUGCCUCA